rnacentral:rRNA from 1 species
GUUGGGAAUCUUGCACAAUGGGGGAAACCCUGAUGCAGCGACGCCGCGUGGAGGACGAAGGAUCUAGGUCUGUAAACUCCUUUUGCCAAGAAAGACUUAGGACGGUACUUGGCGAAUAAGCUCCGGCUAACUACGUGCCAGCAGCCGCGGUAAUACGUAGGGAGCAAGCGUUGUCCGGAUUUACUGGGCGUAAAGGGCGCGUAGGCGGUCUGUUAAGCGUGAAGUGAAAUCUCCAGGGCUCAACCCGGAAACUGCUUUGCGAACUGGCAGACUAGAGGAAGGCAGAGGUGAAUGGAAUUCCUGGUGUAGCGGUGACAUGCAUUGAUAUCAGGAGGAACACCCGAAGCGAAGGCGGUUCACUGGGCCUUAUCUGACGCUGAGGCGCGAAAGCGUGGGUAGCAAACAGAAUUAGAAACCCGAGUAGUCC